GCCUGGGUGGCUCAGUUGGUUGAGCAUCUGACUUUGGCUCAGGUCAUGAUCUCGUGGUUUGUGAGUUCAAGUCCCGCAUCAGGCU
rnacentral:tRNA from 1 species